rnacentral:rRNA from 1 species
UACAGAGGGUGCAAGCGUUAAUCGGAAUUACUGGGCGUAAAGCGUGCGUAGUCGGUUAUCUAAGUCGGGUGUGAAAUCCCCCGGGCUCAACCUGGGAAUUGCAUUCGAUACUGGAUAGCUAGAGUUCGGCAGAGGAAAGCGGAAUUUCGGGUGUAGCGGUGAAAUGCGUAGAUAUCCGAAGGAACAUCAGUGGCGAAAGCGGCUUCCUGGACCAGAACUGACGAUCAGGCACGAAAGCGUGGGGAGCAAACAGG